CGUGUUUAUCCCUACGUCACUUCCUGCUCCGACGCUGGGACUUCAUUCAGGUCGUUGACAAUAAAGAUAAUAUGGAAGGAAACCAAUUGUCAUACUACAUGGUGCUUGAAGACACUACCAAAGAUAAAUUCCUGUGCUAUAUAAAAAAACAAAACGAAACGCAUAAUAUAUAUGUAACAGAUGCCACGGAUGUAUGGAGCAUCGAUGUAUCUGAAGACUUAUUAAGCCAGUUUAGGGAGAAGGUUUUACUGAAGUCUACAGAAGAUUACUUGAGGAAAAUCAGGUCUGCUCUGGGUACAGGCUGCUCCGCGGUGCUGUUGCAGCCCAGCGGAGGAGCAGUGUUGCGGGUGGACUCCAGCCCAACAGACCUCAGCCUCCCGCUGGCCCGUCUGGACCGCCUGCCGGCGCGGGCAGAGGUCAAGGAGCUGCUGUUUGGGAUGGCCGCCCACCUCUCCCAGUCUAGCAGACAACAAGCUGCAGCCCAGUCGGUUAGUCCUGGGAAGACCCACUACAAGAGGCAUAAUAAUACAGAGUUCGGGCCGCGGGUUCAGAGGAAGGCGGGCCCAACUGUGCCCAUGUCAAAGCGUGUGGCGGGGGACUCCCUGAUCAACCCGGGAACCAAGAAGUAACCCUGAAGUUGAAUGAAAGGCCACUAGUUCACCACUAGGUGUCAUGGAACAUGCCAGUAAGUGUCCUCCCAGAUGUAUGAUGACAGAUAGGUCAACCUUUUAAGAGGGCUUGUAGUGCCUGGUCAACCAAUCACACCUGGUGGUAAAUAGGGAGCCUUUAAAAAAUUAUCAAAGAUUGAUCCUUAAACUAGUAAAAAUGAAUGACUUUUCUUUGUUUUUCUAGGAAGUGCCAAACAACAGGUGUGGCCUUUGAUGAUACCGAAGAAGAUUGAAUUUAAUGUUUUUAAGAAUAUGUAUCUGAAGAGAACAAGGAGUUUGUUAUUCUGCUCAACACGUACAUAUGUUAUGUACAGUUUGAACGUGGCUUUUAACCCACUGAUGCCUGAUACAGCUUUUAACCUUACUGCCUACAUCAUGAAAUCUUUUUUAAUGUAACCAAUAUUCAUCGCUUCAAUCAGGGAAUAGCUUUGAAAUGGUUUAUUUUAUGAAAUAAAUGUAAUAAAUGCUAUUCUUUAACUUAA